rnacentral:rRNA from 1 species
CCUACGGGAGGCUGCAGUGGGGAAUAUUGCACAAUGGGCGCAAGCCUGAUGCAGCCAUGCCGCGUGUGUGAAGAAGGCCUUCGGGUUGUAAAGCACUUUCAGCGGGGAGGAAGGCGGUGAGGUUAAUAACCUCAUCGAUUGACGUUACCCGCAGAAGAAGCACCGGCUAACUCCGUGCCAGCAGCCGCGGUAAUACGGAGGGUGCAAGCGUUAAUCGGAAUUACUGGGCGUAAAGCGCACGCAGGCGGUCUGUCAAGUCGGAUGUGAAAUCCCCGGGCUCAACCUGGGAACUGCAUUCGAAACUGGCAGGCUAGAGUCUUGUAGAGGGGGGUAGAAUUCCAGGGGUAGCGGUGAAAUGCGUAGAGAUCUGGAGGAAUACCGGUGGCGAAGGCGGCCCCCUGGACAAAGACUGACGCUCAGGUGCGAAAGCGUGGGGAGCAAACAGGAUAGAUACCCUAGUAGUC